GACGAACGCUGGCGGCGUGCUUAACACAUGCAAGUCGAACGGAAAGGCCCUGCUUUUGUGGGGUGCUCGAGUGGCGAACGGGCGAGUAACACGUGAGUAACCUGCCCUUGACUUUGGGAUAACUUCAGGAAACUGGGGCUAAUACCGGAUAGGAGCUCCUGCUGCAUGGUGGGGGUUGGAAAGUUUCGGCGGUUGGGGAUGGACUCGCGGCUUAUCAGCUUGUUGGUGGGGUAGUGGCUUACCAAGGCUUUGACGGGUAGCCGGCCUGAGAGGGUGACUGGCCACAUUGGGACUGAGAUACGGCCCAGACUCCUACGGGAGGCAGCAGUGGGGAAUAUUGCACAAUGGGCGGAAGCCUGAUGCAGCAACGCCGCGUGCGGGAUGACGGCCUUCGGGUUGUAAACCGCUUUCGCCUGUGACGAAGCGUGAGUGACGGUAAUGGGUAAAGAAGCACCGGCUAACUACGUG
rnacentral:rRNA from 1 species